rnacentral:rRNA from 1 species
CCAGACUCCUACGGGAGGCAGCAGUGGGGAAUAUUGCACAAUGGGGGAAACCCUGAUGCAGCAACGCCGCGUGAGUGAAGAAGUAUUUCGGUAUGUAAAGCUCUAUCAGCAGGGAAGAAGAAGGACGGUACCUGACUAAGAAGCCCCGGCUAACUACGUGCCAGCAGCCGCGGUAAUACGUAGGGGGCGAGCGUUAUCCGGAUUUACUGGGUGUAAAGGGAGCGUAGACGGUUAAUCAAGUCUGAAGUGAAAGCCCGCGGCUCAACUGCGGAACGGCUUUGGAAACUGAGUAACUGGAGUGCUGGAGGGGCAGGCGGAAUUCCUGGUGUAGCGGUGAAAUGCGUAGAUAUCAGGAGGAACACCGGUGGCGAAGGCGGCCUGCUGGGCAGUAACUGACGUUGAGGCUCGAAAGCGUGGGGAGCAAACAGGAUUAGAUACCCGGGUA